AGGUAAUGAUUUAAUUAAUGAUACAUUAAAAAUCUUUUUCUAAUUAUCAUCUUGCUUUGGUCAAAGACUUCUAAAAUCACCAUCCUAUGAGAUCACAUAGGAUGUUCGCUCCCCUUAUUAGGAGUGACUAAUCUCUUAUUGAUCACUCACAACCAUCAUGCACACUUCACCAUAUCCAGAACACCCCACACAAGGAUCAGAGAACCAAGUUAGGUAGUGAACCAAAACAUGGAUCUAUAUACACA
rnacentral:lncRNA from 1 species